rnacentral:rRNA from 1 species
GAUGAACGCUGGCGGCGUGCUUAACACAUGCAAGUCGAACGAAGCUGCUUAACUGAUCUUCUUCGGAAUUGACGUUUUGUAGACUGAGUGGCGGACGGGUGAGUAACGCGUGGGUAACCUGCCCUGUACAGGGGGAUAACAGUCAGAAAUGACUGCUAAUCCCGCAUAAGACCACAGCACCGCAUGGUGCAGGGGUAAAAACUCCGGUGGUACAGGAUGGACCCGCGUCUGAUUAGCUGGUUGGUGAGGUAACGGCUCACCAAGGCGACGAUCAGGAGCCGGCUUGAGAGAGUGAACGGCCACAUUGGGACUGAGACACGGCCCAAACUCCUACGGGAGGCAGCAGUGGGGAAUAUUGCACAAUGGGGGAAACCCUGAUGCAGCGACGCCGCGUGAGUGAAGAAGUAUUUCGGUAUGUAAAGCUCUAUCAGCAGGGAAGAAAAUGACGGUACCUGACUAAGAAGCCCCGGCUAACUACGUGCCAGCAGCCGCAGUAA